CACGUAGGGGGCAAGCGUUGUCCGGAUUUAUUGGGCGUAAAGAGCUCGUAGGCGGUUCGCUAAGUCGGGUGUGAAAACUCUGGGCUCAACUCAGAGACGCCACCCGAUACUGGCGUGACUCGAGUCCGGUAGGGGAGCAUGGAAUUCCUGGUGUAGCGGUGAAAUGCGCAGAUAUCAGGAGGAACACCUGUGGUGUAGACAGCUUACUGGACCAUUUCUGACGCUGAGACACGAAAGCGUGGGUAGCAAACAGG
rnacentral:rRNA from 1 species